GCAGUCGACGGCAGCACGGACUUCGGUCUGGUGGCGAGUGGCGAACGGGUGAGUAAUAUAUCGGAACGUGCCCAGUCGUGGGGGAUAACGUAGUGAAAAUUACGCUAAUACCGCAUACGAUCUAAGGAUGAAAGCGGGGGAUCGCAAGACCUCGCGCGAUUGGAGCGGCCGAUAUCAGAUUAGGUAGUUGGUGAGGUAAAGGCUCACCAAGCCAACGAUCUGUAGCUGGUCUGAGAGGACGACCAGCCACACUGGAACUGAGACACGGUCCAGACUCCUACGGGAGGCAGCAGUGGGGAAUUUUGGACAAUGGACGCAAGUCUGAUCCAGCCAUUCCGCGUGCAGGACGAAGGCCUUCGGGUUGUAAACUGCUUUUGUACAGAACGAAAAGGUCUCUAUUAAUACUGGGGGCUCAUGACGGUACUGUAAGAAUAAGCACCGGCUAACUACGUGCCAGCAGCCGCGGUAAUACGUAGGGUGCAAGCGUUAAUCGGAAUUACUGGGCGUAAAGCGUGCGCAGGCGGUUAUAUAAGACAGAUGUGAAAUCCCCGGGCUCAACCUGGGAACUGCAUUUGUGACUGUAUAGCUGGAGUGCGGCAGAGGGGGAUGGAAUUCCGCGUGUAGCAGUGAAAUGCGUAGAUAUGCGGAGGAACACCGAUGGCGAAGGCAAUCCCCUGGGCCUGCACUGACGCUCAUGCACGAAAGCGUGGGGAGCAACAGGGUAGAUACCUGGUAGUCACGCCCUA
rnacentral:rRNA from 1 species